GCCACGGCGAUGCGGCCCGGCUACGGAUGCGGGGCUUUGGACCCCGUGGCCCGGGUUCGAAUCCCGGCCGGGCU
rnacentral:tRNA from 1 species